UACGUAGGGAGCAAGCGUUGUCCGGAAUCAUUGGGCGUAAAGCGCGCGUAGGCGGCCCUGUAAGUCCGUUGUGAAAGUCAAAGGCUCAACCUUUGAAAGCCGAUGGAUACUGCAGGGCUAGAGUCCGGAAGAGGCGAGUGGAAUUCCUGGUGUAGCGGUGGAAUGCGCAGAUAUCAGGAGGAACACCAUUAGCGAAGGCAGCUCGCUGGGACGGUACUGACGCUAAGGCGCGAAAGCGUGGGGAGCGAACAGG
rnacentral:rRNA from 1 species